rnacentral:rRNA from 1 species
AUGACGUCAAGUCAGCAUGGCCUCUAUGUCCAGGGCUACACACACGCUACAAUGGCCGGUACAGUGGGUUGCAAACCGCGAGGUGGAGCUAAUCCUCAAAGCCGGUCUCAGUUCGGAUUGUAGGCUGCAACUCGCCUGCAUGAAGUCGGAGUUGCUAGUAACCGCGCGUCAGCUAUAGCGCGGUGAAUACGUUCCCGGGCCUU